UAAUCACCUUUCAUUUUCUCUUCACCUAUCUUUACUUUUGAUGCUUGUUGGUUUUGGUUGGAGCUGAAGUAGAGUUUCCAGGCAGAGCUGUUCUCGUAAUUUAGUGCACAUGACCUAGUGGAAAUGCAGGAAGUCCUGGCAAGCUCAUAAGAGCAUCAUCCUCAGGAGGUUUCCAGAGUAUUUUGGAUGCCUUUCAGUCUGAGCCUCUGAGGUCUACUUACUGCUUACCAGUUCCUGAAGUCUUAAACCCCACUGUCCAAAUAGGCCUCGGCUGUAAAUAAAAAGUUGUGGGUGGAGAAAGUAUAAGAGCCUAUGUUUCUUGGCCUGAGGCAAGUUUGGAAUCAAAGGAAAAGCAGCAGGACUUCUAGAUAACUCACAGAAAGCAGGCCAUCCGAGAUGCGGAGAACUACCACGUCUGUCAACGCAAGGAAAGGGAAUGAAAGCUGCCUUCUCCACCCUGCCAGUAGGAACAGACGAAGACUUUUGUCAAGACAGAAUAUUGGAAGAAGGGUGCAGCACCACUGAAGAAAACCACCCGACUGUGAUUACCACUGUGCUAAUUCAAAGACGUGAACAUCACCGUUGUCCCUGUCUCCUAAUUGACAGGAGUUUGUCUCACAAACAGCCUUAUGCCUGAGGUAACCAUGAGAAACAAAAUUUCUGAGAUUGAAUCCCAGCUGAAGGACACAAGGCACUGUCGCCCCUAAAGCCAAACGUUCUGUAGCAUUCUGUCUUCUGCUGUCCAUGGCCUUUUAAAGGGUCUACAGGCUUUUUUGGGGAAAAGAGGAAAACAUAAUAAGAUGUCUGGUGGGCAUUGAAGUGAGGAAGUUGAAAAGUUUUCAGACCUAGACAGCAAGGAGCCCAUGUUCAUUUAGCCUGUUCAAGAUUCUUCAAAUCUUCAUUCACAGAUGUGCUCAAAUCCAACCUCCCACGCUCCUCUGAGCCAAGGCUGACAGGGCUGCUCCUCUUAUACUGUAACUGAGCUGACUCCUUCGUGGGCCAUAUUUUCCUUGGGCUGCUACACAGCCUUCGAGUUGAGGACUAUCAAUGUCGCCAUCGGUUAGGUUAGUUACAGUUGUAGAUUUCUCCAGGGAUAUUUCCGUAGGCUUCCCCUCCCAUUCAAAGAAUAUAUCCAUGUCCGGCGAUUUACUCGCUGCUCUAAUUUCACAGUGGAAAUCAACUACCUGUCACAUCUGACAUUUUUUACUUACUUCCUUCUCCCUCCUUGAAGUCUAACUCAAUUAUGAUGAACUUCUUAAUCAUCCAAGAAUUUAAAAAAAUAUGAUUUUCUUUUUGAGGGUUUAGGGAGGUGGUAGCGAGAUCAUGUAUGUGUGUGUCUAGGGGAGCAUCCCGCUUGAUUGCAAAAUAUCUUGUUCUUAUUCUAGCCUUCUCUCUCCUUGCCUGGGCAAGUCUAUAUUGGUACCAUCUGGAAGGGAAAAA